GUUUGGCUUGCACAUCAGAAUUUGGAAACAAGAAAGGAAGAAGAACUAAGCAAGAUCCAUUUUCGCAACUAUUGGUACAGCUCCACUAAAUCAGCUUCUGUUUUGGAGGAGAAAACUGACCUUGAAGUUGUGUCAGUUAUGCUGAAUGUGUGUUAUGGAGAGCUACGAAUUUCUUGCUAAUGGAGAUGGAAGUUUGAGUAAGAUAAGAGUUCAAAGGCUGCAUUAACACCAUCUAAACCUCUAUUAAUCCAAGGUGCAGUUUAGUAGCUUUUGACAGAUAGCAGUUUCGGAUUGAUGGCUUGAAGUGGUAUUGGCUCGGAGACCUCGUCAGAUCUCUCUUUCCGCUGUGUAGAUCCAUUGAAGACAGAUGUUUUGUAAUUCUUGUUAGAAUUUCAUGUUGUAUUGUAUUAUGAAUUUUUCUAUAUCUAUAGCUUUUGUAUGUACUCAAUAUCAAUUUUAACGUUUCAUGCAUAAUAUACUAGUCAAUUAUGUAUGGGGUGUUACA